CGCGCCGCUGGCCUGGUCGCCGACCCCCGGCUGCCCGUCGUGUCGUUCACCGGUUCGGGCCCGGUCGGCGCGC
rnacentral:tRNA from 1 species